rnacentral:rRNA from 1 species
CGGGUGAGUAACACGUAUGCAACCUACCUGUAAGAGGGGAAUAACCCGGAGAAAUUCGGACUAAUACCGCAUAAUACUGUUUACCUGCAUGGGUGAACAGUUAAACAUUUAUGGCUUACAGAUGGGCAUGCGUAUGAUUAGAUAGUUGGUGAGGUAACGGCUCACCAAGUCAACGAUCAUUAGGGGUUCUGAGAGGAAGGUCCCCCACACUGGUACUGAGAUACGGACCAG